CGCUUGUACCCAGAGGCAAUGGCAUGUGAGGCUCACUAAAAUCGACUCAUCUCGUUGGAGCAGCUCCGGGUAAUGGACCAUUGAAUGUGCUGGAUGAACUUAUGUCCACCAUAAACAAAGGAGUCUCCAAGCAAAUGUAUGUCCUGAAUUUAUACGUAUUUUUGAGGAGCUCCGGGUAAUGGCCGCUCAAACUUGGUUGUGCCUUGAACUGCUUGUACAGGUGUUCCAAGGUUUGGAAGUAAGGUGAAGUGUUCGAAUGAAUUGUGGAAGUGGCUGUAUACUUGGGUUAGUCAAAAUACCUGCGCUGUGGGUUUUAGCAUAGAGAUUUGCUCCAGCAACACGAGACCGCUGCACCCACGGCAAAGUAGCAUUGGGUGCAUUCCAAAACGUCAAAAUACAAAGCAUCAGUCUUUUAUUUCUAAGCCGCAGUUAAAAAAAAAUCUAACUUGCGCAAACUAGUUGAAAACUAGCAUCUAACCGUGGUUGCGCACAUUUGGCACUACAAUCUGCUGACGUUUGAUGCAGAUAUUUGUAAGCGCGUGUGUGUGUAUUAAAAACUAAAAACUAAAAGGUUUGGGAGAUAUGUGAUAUCGUUAAUUUACUGUAAUAUUUUGAUAAUCCAAAAAGCCGGAUUGAAGUAAAUCAGCGAUUUUUUAUUAUAUUCAAUGCGGUAUAUAUUUAGCGAUAUUGCAUUUUCCCCACCACCCAUGAGGUAUGCAAUCAGGCGCGUUACCGAUUUUUGUUGAGGUGUUCGGUUCCCCCAGAGGCAUAUUUUCACCUAUAUAACUUAAACUAAUAGUA